CAUGACUCACGUUAUACUGCAACACCGGAUAUGCACAGCGUAGGACACUGAAGGACGAUGCUGUUCCUACUUUGUUUGGACCAGCUGGAGAUUUGGGUACACAACCUCCAGAUCAGGAAACUCCUGGCGUAUCCGGCGGACAACACAUGACGGGAUGACCACUCUGAUGCGUCGUCCUAGAAAGCCCCAGCACCAGUUUACAAAGCUGCGAUAGGCAAGAUGCCGAAAACGCCUAUAAGGGGAGGAAUGGAUGAUAUACAGUGUAUAUAUGUAUAUUUACACAUGUUCAUUUUGUACAUUUCUAAAAAUAAAGUUUGAUGGAAAUA